rnacentral:rRNA from 1 species
AGUGAACGCUGGCGGUAGGCCUAACACAUGCGAGUCGAACGGCAGCACAGUAAGAGCUUGCUCUUACGGGUGGCGAGUGGCGGACGGGUGAGGAAUACAUCGGAAUCUACUUUUUCGUGGGGGAUAACGUAGGGAAACUUACGCUAAUACCGCAUACGACCUACGGGUGAAAGCAGGGGAUCUUCGGACCUUGCACGAUUGAAUGAGCCGAUGUCGGAUUAGCUAGUUGGCGGGGUAAAGGCCCACCAAGGCGACGAUCCGUAGCUGGUCUGAGAGGAUGAUCAGCCACACUGGAACUGAGACACGGUCCAGACUCCUACGGGAGGCAGCAGUGGGGAAUAUUGGACAAUGGGCGCAAGCCUGAUCCAGCCAUACCGCGUGGGUGAAGAAGGCCUUCGGGUUGUAAAGCCCUUUUGUUGGGAAAGAAAAGCAGCAGGUUAAUACCCCGCUGUUCUGACGGUACCCAAAGAAUAAGCACCGGCUAACUUCGUG